AUGGCCAACACUGUCAACGCCAUAGGAGAUAGGAGGCAAAGUGAUGCUUCAGGAUCCUUGGGGCUCAUGGAUUAAUAGGUGGUUUCUACUGGCAUAUCUGGGACGAGAGCAGCAGAGUACUGUCCAAGAAGGCAAGAGUCAAAGGAGAAAAUCCUUUGGAGGCCUAGGAUUUACCUAGGGCAGCCAGAGGCAGCACCACUAGAGGGAGAAUAUGAAUUGGAGCCAGGGAGAGAAAGCCAAGGUCACAGCUUAGGUUGGAGUGUCGAGAUAAACAGAAAGAAUGACAAGCAUGAGGUAUAAAAGAGGUCACGGCAUGUUGUUCAGUGCCAAUGCAUGUCCACUGCGAAGACGUAGGAGGCCUGCUUUCAUUCUGGAUGGGCAGAGUGUAAGACCAGGCCAGGGGGCUAAAAGGAGUGAGGCAGGAGAAGACCCUAAAAGCCACUGAGGAAUCAAAAUGAGGUGCGAGCAUGAAAUACCUGCGUGAAGCUGCGAGGACCAUGCCUGAUGCAGACGAGGCAGGAGCUCAAUCAAUGCUGGAACAUCAAUAGCAAAUCUCAGCUUCCGUCUGGAAGCUGGCAGCAGCAGCAGCAGCCAGAUGGCCUCUCUUGGAAGCUGUACACUGAAGCCUGUACUUUCCAAGUUCAACUGGCCCCUACUUUUGAAGAUCUCUCUUGGAUACCAGGAAUGGAGCUUUAUGGACGAUCUCACAACUAGCAAUUCACAAUGAAGUUCUGGGGUACGUGAUAAAAGAAGAACUUCAGCUGAAUUAAAUUUAAAGGAGUUUGAGCAAUGAAUAAUUCGCGAAUUGGGCAGCCCCCAGAAUCACAGCAGAUUCACAAAGACUCCAGUGCAACCACGUGGUAGAAGAAGAUUUACAGACAAAAAAAAAAAAAAAAUGGAAAUGACAUACAGAAAUUGGAAGGAGAGUACAGAACUGCCGGUUGGUUACAGUAAGCAGUACAAUCAAUGGAUCUUUGAUGGCUGAGACAGGUUGAAAUGGCAAAAAGACAACAGCACCACUUUUGAAAACGACUUUAUGUAGACCACCUCCCUGGCCUCAGCGUCCUCAUCUGAACAAGAAGGGAACUUCCCAGUUCUGACGGUCUAUCGUACAGCAUCUCAGCGUUGUGAUUCUUAAAUAAGUAUUCACUGUACAAUCCUAUAAAGGUAAGAGCUAAACAAUCAGAUAUCAC
rnacentral:lncRNA from 1 species